CAGAGCCUUCGGGGCAGGGUGCGAUUCCCGACCGGUGGUAGGGUCCCGCGAAUGCGGGGCGAGCCCACGAGCGGCUCUUCGGGCGUCAGCCCGGGGAGUGCAGCAGAUCCGGGGCGAGGCAGGUCCUCGCCGAGCGGAGCCGACGGUACAGUCCGGAUGGAAGAAGGCCAAG
rnacentral:ncRNA from 2 species